rnacentral:snRNA from 1 species
AGACUUACUUGGCAGAGGCAAUCCCAUGAUCACAGAGUGCUUUUUCUAGGUUGCAGCUUACCCAUUGCUUUCUGAACAUGCUGGCCCCUGUAAUUUCACCAAAUGUGGGAAACCCAACCCCAUCAUUGUGGUCCUGGGGGACUGUGUUUACACUCUACCCUG